GACGAACGCUGGCGGCGUGCUUAACACAUGCAAGUCGAACGGAAAGGCCCUGCUUUGGUGGGGUGCUCGAGUGGCGAACGUGUGAGUAACACGUGAUUAACCUGCCCUUGACUUUGGGAUAACUUCAGGAAACUGGGGCUAAUACCGGAUAGGAGCUCCUGCGGCAUGGUGGGGGUUGGAAAUUUUCGGCGGUUGGGGAUGGACUCGCGGCUUAUCAGCUUGUUGGUGGGGUAGUGGCUUACCAAGGCUUGGACGGGUAGCCGGCCUGAGAGGGUGACCGGCCACAUUGGGACUGGGAUACGGCCCAGACUCCUACGGGAGGCAGCAGUGGGGAAUAUUGCACAAUGGGCGGAAGCCUGAUGCAGCAACGCCGCGUGCGGGAUGACGGCCUUCGGGUUGUAAACCGCUUUCGCCUGUGACGAAGCGUGAGUGACGGUAAUGGGUAAAGAAGCACCGGCUAACUACGUG
rnacentral:rRNA from 1 species